rnacentral:lncRNA from 1 species
UCCCUAGCCCGGAAUUUCUCAUUCCCACCCGGAAUUUCUCAUUCCCAUCUCGGGAUUUCUGAUCCCCAUCCCGGAAUUUCUGAUCCCCACCCGGGAUUUCUGACCCCCAUCCCGGGAUUUCUCAUUCCCAUCCCGGAAUUUCUGAUCCCCAUCCCGGGAUUUCCGAUCCCCAUCCUUAUUCCUUAUUUUUCCUUCCCUUAUUCCGUUCCCCUUUCCCUUCUCUUUUCUACUUUCCAUUUUUUUCCUUUCCUUUUUCCUUUCCCCUUUCCUUAUUUUUCUUUUUCCUUUCUUUAUUCCCUUCCCCUUUCCUUUUUCCUUCUCUUUUCCCUUUCCCUUUUCCUUAUUCCUUUUGUAUUUUCAUUUCCUUAUUCCAUUCCCCUUUGCCUUCUCUUUUCUACUUUCUUUUUUCUUCUCUUUCUCCUUAUUCCUUUCCUCUGUCAUUAUUCCUUUUAUUUUUCUUUUCCUUAUUCCUUUUCCCCUUCCCUCAUUCCUUUUCUUUUUCCUUUCCAUAUUCCUCUACCCUUCCCUUUACCCUUCUUUUUCCUUUCCGCUCUUUUCCUUAUUCCUUUCCCUUUUCCUUAUUCCUUUUUUUCCCUUUCCUUAAUCUUUUCUGUUCCCCUUUCCCUUCUCUUUUCAGCUUUCCUUUCCCCUUCCCUUUUUCCUUUUUCCUUUCCUUUUUCCUUUCCCUUUCCCUUCCUCCUUCCCUUUUUCCUUUCAUUUUUCCUUUCCUUUUUCCUUCCUCCUUCCCUUUUUCCUCCUCUUUUUCCUUUCCCCUUCCCUUUUUCCUUAUUCUUCCCUUAUUCCUUUUCCCCUCCCCUCAUUCCCUUCCCUCCCCGGGGAUCAUUUCCCACCCCAAAUCCCCUCCGGGGAUGGAUUCCAGCCCCGCUUUCCCUGCAAAUCCCGAUUUUAUUCCCGUUAUUCCCACCUCAUCCCGGGAGAACUUUUCCCAUUUCUCCAGAGGGAUCCUGGAGCGGGCACAGGCGGUGCUGCCGCUCAGUGGCAAAACACGGGAGAAUUCCCCUUUUCCCAUGGAAUUUCCUCCCCUCCCUUGUUUUUUAUCAAAUAAAAUUAAUAUAUUUAUUCUUUAUAUCGUAA